CAAUUGCUCCCUGAACAACCCACUGAAGCGCCCAAACCAUGUAAAAUCGUAAUUUUGUUUCAACACAUUGCAUUACUGGGAAUUAAUAUACCCAAAAGCUAUUCCAAUUUGAAAAACUCUUUUUCGGGUGGUAGGGGUGUGCUUGGGAUUGAUUAUGCAAUAAAAAAAAAAAAUAGCAUCAUCAAGAAAUAAUAAGAAAGUGCUAACCUUCCCCUCAACUUCCCAUAACAUCCCAUUCUCGAUUUCCUUGUAUGGGAAUGAGUCGGAUAGAAGCUCAUCAUCUGUUAGAAGAUCCUGAUACACAAGCAUGAUUAGCUCUUUGUUUCUGGCUCUGUAAAAGAACUAUAUUGGCUAACUAGCAAAAGAAAAGGCAAUUAACCAAGAAAAAAGGAACAAAAUUCGAAAGAGCUUGAGCGAAUAUAGGGAGCUUGAGGUGCCGAGUUUUUA
rnacentral:misc_RNA from 1 species